rnacentral:lncRNA from 1 species
CCCCCAUGGCCGCUCAGCCCCAGCCCUCAGCCCACCCUUGAGGGAAUCUCCUGCCAGGGAUUCCCUUCUUAUUCCUUCUUGCCGUCCACCAAAAACCAAUUCAAUUGUCUUUUUGAGAAUAAAGCCUGGGCUAGUCUUGCCAAAAAUACAUACAUACAUAACUGUGUUUUGUACCCAGUUGAGAGAUGGCAUGGUGUCAGCAAUAGACUUGGAAUCUCGAUGCUGUUCCACAUUCCAUGAGUAUGAUGCUUGUGCCCUUCUGGCUCUAUACCAAGUCCUUUUCUCUCUCCAAUCUCCUCUUCUAAGGGAAAAACUCUUGUGUCCCGCAGAGCAGAGAAGACCAGCUGCCUGGCUAUAUGAGGCACGUGAAGACUUCUAUAAACAGCUUUUCUAUCUGUGUCCCCCAAAUCCAGGGCCACAGUACUCAGUGUGGUAGGAGGUCAGACCCUCGGGGUUCUGCAUAGGGAUGGGCGCCCACUACAAGCCCUAGCUUGUGACUUUUUUCUGCUGAGCCGGUCACCACUCAGAGCUGUGGAACUCUCUAGUCCACUGUUCUUCUUUUGUUUUAUCAUUUCUUAUUCUUGAUGUCCUUGAUGAAUAGCCUUGCAGUUUCUAAAAUUGGGUUGGAGGUUCACAGACUUCCUUGGGGAGACAGCCACAAAGCCCAGGAAGAAAGCAGGUGAGUGUUAUCACCUUAGGUCUCACUGUAUCCAGGUGCUCUUCAGUUUCCUGUUGUUACAUGGCCUCCACAAUGAGCUAUGUCUCCAUUCCUUUUUUAAAAUUUCAAGACAGCUUCUUGCUGAGUUGCCCAGGAUGGGCUCUUUUUUGAGAUUGAUCCUCUUGUUCAAUUUCCCAGAGUGCUGGGUUUGUAGGAACGUGUCACAAUGUCCUAUGUGCUGUCCACAGGCUCCUGCCCCAUAAGGGCUCAUGUUGUCCCUGUAACAUAAGAGGAAGAUUAAGACCAGGCUCAUGGUAUGCUGCUUGC